AGUGAACGCUGGCGGCAGGCCUAACACAUGCAAGUCGAACGGCAGCACAGUAAGAGCUUGCUCUUACGGGUGGCGAGUGGCGGACGGGUGAGGAAUACAUCGGAAUCUACUUUUUCGUGGGGGAUAACGUAGGGAAACUUACGCUAAUACCGCAUAUGAUCUACGGGUGAAAGCAGGGGAUCUUCGGACCUUGCGCGAUUGAACGAGCCGAUGUCGGACUAGCUAGUUGGCGGGGUAAAGGCCCACCAAGGCGACGAUCCGUAGCUGGUCUGAGAGGAUGAUCGGCCACACUGGAACUGAGACACGGUCCAGACUCCUACGGGAGGCAGCAGUGGGGAAUAGUGGACAAUGGGCGCAAGCCUGAUCCAGCCAUACCGCGUGGGUGAAGAAGGCCUUCGGGUUGUAAAGCCCUUUUGUUGGGGAAGAAAAGCUGCAGGUUAAUACGCCGCUGUUCUGACGGUACCCAAAGAAUAAGCACCGGCUAACUACGUG
rnacentral:rRNA from 1 species